AGACGUUGAAGGAGGAGAGGGAGGCGGAGGCGACGCUGAAGUACGGGAGGCGAGGGCGGAGGACGAGCCAGACGAUGAAGAUGAUGGUGCCCACGAUAAUGAAGAAGGCGAUCAUGGCGGCCAGGAAACGACGGAGGAAGGUGGCGCGUGGGGAAGAGUAAGGGGGCGCGUGGUAGGGGUGGGCUGCAUUGGGGUUGUAGUAAGGGGGCGGCGGAGCAUUGUAGGGGUAGGCAGUGGCGGUGGAGUGCGGCUGGGGGUAUCCUGGUGCAGGAUAGCCUGUAACUGGCCUAUGCGGAUCUUCCAUUGGAAGGGGCUAAAAAGUAAUAAGAAUUCAGAGCCAAG
rnacentral:lncRNA from 1 species